UACGUAGGGUGCAAGCGUUGUCCGGAAUUAUUGGGCGUAAAGAGCUCGUAGGCGGUUUGUUGCGUCGGCUGUGAAAUCCCGAGGCUCAACCUCGGGUCUGCAGUCGAUACGAGCAAACUAGAGUGUUGCAGGGGAGACUGGAAUUCCUGGUGUAGCGGUGAAAUGCGCAGAUAUCAGGAGGAACACCGGUGGCGAAGGCGGGUCUCUGGGCCGAUACUGACGCUGAGGAGCGAAAGCGUGGGGAGCGAACAGG
rnacentral:rRNA from 1 species